UAUUACGUCCCUGCCCUUUGUACACACCGCCCCGUCGCUGCCCGGGACUGAGCCAUUUCGAGAAAUUUGGGGACCGUUGAUUUAAUUUUUCUAAAUUACUUUGAUGGAAACCAAUUUAAUCGCAGUGGCUUGAACCGGGCAAAAGUCGUAACAAGGUAGCUGUAGGUGAACCUGCUGCUGGAUCAUUACUUUAUGUGAUGUUCAAAUUUGAAUUCGCAACAAAAAUAUACUGUUGUGAAACGGCUGUCGCUGGUGUCUAGGUGUUGCUGAUACAGUUGUUAACGUCCGUGGCUGUAUAUGUGGUGACAUGUUAGGACUCUUUAAUGAGUUUAAGACUUAAUGAGCCUUUUAAGUGAGGACGCCAGCACUCUUUUUUUCUCUAUAUUUUUUAAAAAAACGAAAAUUUCUAGCCUUAUCGGUGGAUCACUCGGCACGUGGAUCGAUGAAGAACGCAGCAAACUGCGAUAAUUUGUGCGAACUGCAGAAACCUUGAGCACAAAAGUUUUGAACGCAUAUUGCAGCAUUGGGGUCAAACCCUUUGCUACGUCUGGUUCAGGGUCAUUUUCUUUUAAAGCGAAAGCUUUAAUUUAUAUAUGCUAUUGAUGCUUUAUAUUUUAAGAGGUUUGUUGUUUGUCAUAAUUUUAUAAAUAUAACUACAAAAAUCAAGCAACUUUGACCUGAACUCAGUCGAGAGCACCCGCUGAACUUAAGCAUAUCAGUAAGCGGAGA
rnacentral:rRNA from 1 species